AUAAAGUAAUAUAUUAUAAUAAUAAUAGAAAAUAAAUGUAAUAUAUUAUAACCUGUAAAUCACCUUGAUAAAAGUUAAGACAUUAUUAAAAAAGAAUUAUACACCAUGGCCAAAUGGAAUUUAUUCUAGGUGUACAAGUCUGGUUCAACAUUCAAAAAAAUAUUGAUAUGAUUCAUCACAUCAAUAGGCUAAAGAAAAAGUAUGAUUAUAUCAUAGAUACAGAAAUAAAAAUUUCCAACAAAGUCCACCACUCAUGCAUAAUAAUAGAAACUCUCAGCAAACUACAAAUAGAGCAAACUUCAAGUCUGGGAACAAGAUAAGAAUGUCCCUUCUCAGGGUGCCUGGGUGGCUCAGUAGGUUAAAGCCUUUACCUUAGGCUCAGGUCAUGAUCUUAGGGUCCUGGGAUCGAGCCCCAUAUCGGGCUCUCUCUAUGCCUGCCUCUCUGCCUACUUGUGAUCUCUGUCUGUAAAAAAAAAAAAAAAAAGAAUGUCCCUUCUCACCACUUCUAUUCUAUGUUUUACUGGAAGUCCUAGCUAAUGCAGUAAAAUAAGAAAAGGAAAUAAAAAGUAGACAGGUUGAGAAGGAAGAAAUGAAACUAUCUUUAUUUGAGAUGAUAAGAUUGUCUAUUUAGAAAACCCUAAAAAAUCCCCCAAAUACUACUGGAACUAAUAAGUGAUUACAGGUUAAUAUAACAAAGGUUAAUAUGUGAAAGUCAAUCACUUUGGGGGUGCCUGGGUGGCUCAGUGGGUUAAGCCUCUGCCUUCAGCUCAGUUCAUGAUCACAGGGUCCUUGGAUGGAGUCCUGCAUCAGUCUCUCUGCUCAGCAGGGAGCCAGCUUACCCCUCCCCCUCUGCCUGCCUCUCUGCCUACUUGUGAUCUCUCUCUCUCUGUGUCAAAUAAAUAAACAAAUAAAUCUUUAAAAAAAAAAAAAAGUCAAUUACUUUCUUAUAUUGCCAGCAAUGCACAAUUGGAAUUUGAGAUAAAAAAAGUAACGCCUUCGGGACACCUGAGUGGCUCAGUCAGUUAAGCCGCUGCCUUCUGUUGGGGUCAUGAUCCUGGGGUCCUGGGAUGGAGUCCCACAUUGGGCUCCUUGUCCAUCAGGGAGCCUGCUUCUCUCUCUGCCUCUGCCUGCCACUCUGCCUGUUUGUGCUCUCUCUCUCUGACAAAUAAAUAAAAUCUUAAAAAAAAAAAAAAAUAACGCCCUCUACAUCAACACCCAAAAAUCAAAAUACUUAAGUUAUAAACAUAAACCUAAUAAGUAAAAUGUCUAUAUGAGGAAAACUGUAAAUCUCUGAUGAAAGAAAUCGAAGAAAGUUUAAAUAAAUGGAAAAACAUUCCAUGUUCAUAGAUAGGAAGCAUUACUAUUAAGAUGUCAGUUCUUCCCAACUUGGUUUAUAGAUUCAGUGUAAUUCCAAUCAAAAUCCCAGUGAGUUAUGUUGUGGAUAAAGGGAUUCCCAAGUUUAUAUGCGAAGGCAAAAGAACCAGGAUAGUCAACACAACACUGAAAGAGAACAAAGAGCAUUGACACUAUCUAACUUCAAGACUUACUAUAAAGCCACAGUAAUUAAGACACUGGCAGAAGAAUAAACAAAUACAUCAGUGGAAUAGGACAGAAAUCUCAGAAACAGAUCCAUCCAAAUAGAGUCUUUGACAAAGAAGCAAAGGCAAAUCAAUGGAGAAAGGAUAGUCUUUUAACAAACAGGCCUGGAACAACUGGUCAUCCACAUGCAAAAACAUGAAUCUAAAUGCAAACCUUAAAAAAAACAAAAUGCAAACCUUACACCUUUCACAAAAAUUAACUCAAAAUGGAUCACUGACUUAAAUAUGGUACACAGAGCUAUACAACUUCUAGAAGGUAACAUAGGAGCACUAAAACUCAGAAUGCCCUAGGCAGACUGGGAAAAGCAUCCCACCAGUUAAAAGUGACUUAGAUAAAGAAUAGGACUUGAUGGCACAAAUAAGUUAUAUGAUUCAGACAUUCAUGUAUCUCCUGUUCCUUUGUCAACUUUCCUUAAGCCCAUUCCAUGGCCUCAUGGGGAAUUUUCUGUCUGUGUAUGGUUCCACAUGUUUUAUUGACUCCAGCCAGUAAUGUACUAUAGGAGCAAAAGAGCCCAGUCUGUUUUUUUCCCCAACCAUUCUGAUGCUUGCUCAAGGUUGUACACGGGUUUAACAACAUUAACAACAUGGGGCCCCUCCCCCAUUCAAGACUGAACUACCUGGAAGAACUACCUGAACUACCUGAUCACAUCUGGAAGCCCAACUUGCCAACAGCAAAGGCAAGUGCAAUACCCUAAGAGUACCAACCAGCCACCUGGUAACAAGUUGAUUUCAAUCUUUCAGUUAUUGACAGAACAAAUUUUCUCACUUGAGUAGUCAUUCUGGGUAUGGAUUAGCUUUUCUUCUCAAAUGCUUCUGCCAACCCCGUCACCUAUGGACUUAUAGAAUGCCUUAUUUGUCAUCACGGUAUCUCACAUUUCAUUACUUUUAUCCAAGGAAAUAAUUAUUGCCAGCAGAGGGGAUGAAGCUAUGGGCUCUAGCUUAUAGUAUUCACUGUUUUUGUUGUGGGAUCAUGUUGCCUACUAUUCAGAAAUAGCUGGCUUUGUAGGGUAGUAGAAUGGUCCAGUUACAUUAGUUGGGAAAUAGUACUUUUGGAGGUUGGAUGCUAUUCUACAAUGUGGAACAUGUGCUAAUCUAGCAACCAAUAUACAAUUCUGUUUAUCUUAUAGCUAGAAUACACAGUGCUAGAAGUUAAGGAGGUAAAGUGUGAAUUGCUCCUUUUACUACCCAAAAAAGCUCAACAUAUUUUUCUUUCCAUCUUUAUAUAUUUGGUCUCUGCUUAUUUUAGAGGGCUUAAUGCAUAAAGAAAGAAUGUUUUUGUUAGGAGACAAUGCAAUAGUUCCAUUAAAUUGGAAGUUGAGAUUGUCACCUGGCAAUGUUGGUCUCCUCAUGUCACUGAUCUAAUGUACAAAGAAGGGUGUGACUGUGGUGGCUGAGGUGGUUGAUCCUAAUUUCCAAGAGAAAAUUAGAUUGCUGCUGCACAAUGGGGCAAAGAGAACUGUCUGGAAAUCAGGAUACUCUCUAGGUGCACUAUUGUGACCCAAUAAAGUCAGGACUGCUAAAGCUUCAGACCCUUUAAAAAUGAAGAUUUGGGUUAUUUCACAAGCUUGUGAACCUUGAUCAAUUGAGGUGAUAGCUGAAGGAAAGAGGAACAAGUCAGUGAAAUAACAAAGUGUAAAACUCAGCUAUGGCAUUGAGAUCAUUUAUAGAAAUGAGAAUUAUAGAAGAUAGUAUUCUACCCCUUGCUUCUAUGUGUAUUUUUGUAUAUGUUAACUAUUUUCCUUACUCUUUUUCUCUAUUAUUUUACAUAGGAAUUGUUCAUUGGGAUUAACCUGACAAAUUCAUAUUUAGAUUACAAGAUAUGCAGGUGGAAUUUGGCCAACUAAAACAGAAGUUAACCUCAUCCUGGGAUGGAUAUGGUGGCUGUUGGGAUCUGUCUCUCCUUUUCAGGGUGAUUUGUUUUUUCAUGAUGUGGCCCUGGCUGAUGUAAAAAGGAUCCAAUGGGGAGAGGUGUUUCCUAGUAUUAAGAACCGAGUAGGAAAGGUAGGCUCUAAACCCAGCGUGGAGCCCAAGGCAAGGCUUGAUCCCAGGACCCUGAGAUUGAGACCUGAGGUGAGAUCAAGAGUCAGACGGUUAACCCACUGAGCACCCAGAUGCCUCUUAUGGGUUGGUUUUCUUUCAACAUCAUGGAGCAGAUCAAGCCUGAUGAAGUAUAAUUUUUAAAAAGGAAACAAGGGCCAGAGAAACAUGUUAAAUGACAUUGUGGAAAUGGAUGCAACUAAGUAAAUUAGAAUGUGGGAGAGAUGACAAGACAAUGACCAAUUUCUUCAAUAAACCAAUUGCAGAGAAGACCAAAAAAUGGAGGCAAUAAAGAUGAAAAGAGAUCAAGAAGUGUACCAAACCAAUUCUUUGCUAUUUCUUCCAACUUGAAUCUGAGCUGGCCUUAGUGACUAGCUUGACCAGUAGAAUAUCGUGAAAAUGACAUCCUGGGAGUUCUGGGACUAUUUCAUAAAAAGCCUGGGAAUUGCCAGAUGGGGCCACUUGCAGCAUUGUCUCUGCGAUUCCUGAGCCACCAUGUAGGAAGUCUGAGUACUCUUCGAUCGGUAUGUUGCAGAGGCCAGAACAUGCAGGCACAGGAGCAGUCAUGUGAAGGACACCAUCUUGGAUCCUCCAGACCAGCCAUAGUCGAUGUGGAAUGGACCAGAAGGACCACUCAGCCAAGGAUUGCUCAAAUUACUAAUCCUCAAUAUGGUGCGAUGCAAUAAAAUGUUGUUUGUUUUUAGUUA